ACGCUCACUUUGGCAGCACAUAUACUAAAACUGCAAUGAUACAAAGAAGUUAGCAUGACCCCUGUGCAAGGAUGACUCGCAAAUUUGUGAAGCAUUCCAUACUGUU